rnacentral:tRNA from 1 species
GCAGCGGUGGUCCAGUGGUAGAAUUCUCGCCUUCCAUGCAGGAGACCCGGGUUCGAUUCCCAGCCAAUGCA